UCGAGAAAUCGAGAAAUCGAGAAAUCGAGAAAUUGGGAAAUUGGGAAAUUAGGAAAUCAAUGGCAAAAACGCGAAAGCUUUUGUGUUUUCGUUUUCGUGUUUUUGUGUUUUUGCUUUCUCGAUUUCUCGAUUUCCCGAUUUCCCUAUUUUUCGAUUUCCCUAUUUCUCGAUUUCCCUAU
rnacentral:sRNA from 1 species